rnacentral:rRNA from 1 species
GACAGAGGGGGCAAGCGUUGCUCGGAAUUACUGGGCGUAAAGGGCGCGUAGGCGGGAUGGCAAGUCGGUCGUGAAAUCCCUCGGCUCAACUGAGGAUCGUCGAUCGAUACUGCCGUUCUUGAGGAUUGCAGAGGAGACUGGAAUUCCCGGUGUAGCGGUGAAAUGUGUAGAGAUCGGGAGGAACACCGGUGGCGAAGGCGGGUCUCUGGGCAAUUCCUGACGCUGAGGCGCGAAAGCGCGGGGAGCAAACGGG